GUCAGAGGCGAUGAAGGACGUGCUAAUCUGCGAUAAGCGUCGGUAAGGUGAUAUGAACCGUUAUAACCGGCGAUUUCCGAAUGGGGAAACCCAGUGUGUUUCGACACACUAUCAUUAACUGAAUCCAUAGGUUAAUGAGGCGAACCGGGGGAACUGAAACAUCUAAGUACCCCGAGGAAAAGAAAUCAACCGAGAUUCCCCCAGUAGCGGCGAGCGAACGGGGAGCAGCCCAGAGCCUGAAUCAGUGUGUGUGUUAGUGGAAGCGUCUGGAAAGGCGCGCGAUACAGGGUGACAGCCCCGUACACAAAAAUGCACAUGCUGUGAGCUCGAUGAGUAGGGCGGGACACGUGGUAUCCUGUCUGAAUAUGGGGGGACCAUCCUCCAAGGCUAAAUACUCCUGACUGACCGAUAGUGAACCAGUACCGUGAGGGAAAGGCGAAAAGAACCCCGGCGAGGGGAGUGAAAAAGAACCUGAAACCGUGUACGUACAAGCAGUGGGAGCACGCUUAGGCGUGUGACUGCGUACCUUUUGUAUAAUGGGUCAGCGACUUAUAUUCUGUAGCAAGGUUAACCGAAUAGGGGAGCCGAAGGGAAACCGAGUCUUAACUGGGCGUUAAGUUGCAGGGUAUAGACCCGAAACCCGGUGAUCUAGCCAUGGGCAGGUUGAAGGUUGGGUAACACUAACUGGAGGACCGAACCGACUAAUGUUGAAAAAUUAGCGGAUGACUUGUGGCUGGGGGGGAAAGGCCAAUCAAACCGGGAGAUAGCUGGUUCUCCCCGAAAGCUAUUUAGGUAGCGCCUCGUGAAUUCAUCUCCGGGGGUAGAGCACUGUUUCGGCAAGGGGGUCAUCCCGACUUACCAACCCGAUGCAAACUGCGAAUACCGGAGAAUGUUAUCACGGGAGACACACGGCGGGUGCUAACGUCCGUCGUGAAGAGGGAAACAACCCAGACCGCCAGCUAAGGUCCCAAAGUCAUGGUUAAGUGGGAAACGAUGUGGGAAGGCCCAGACAGCCAGGAUGUUGGCUUAGAAGCAGCCAUCAUUUAAAGAAAGCGUAAUAGCUCACUGGUCGAGUCGGCCUGCGCGGAAGAUGUAACGGGGCUAAACCAUGCACCGAAGCUGCGGCAGCGACGCUGAUGCGUUGUUGGGUAGGGGAGCGUUCUGUAAGCCUGCGAAGGUGUGCUGUGAGGCAUGCUGGAGGUAUCAGAAGUGCGAAUGCUGACAUAAGUAACGAUAAAGCGGGUGAAAAGCCCGCUCGCCGGAAGACCAAGGGUUCCUGUCCAACGUUAAUCGGGGCAGGGUGAGUCGACCCCUAAGGCGAGGCCGAAAGGCGUAGUCGAUGGGAAACAGGUUAAUAUUCCUGUACUUGGUGUUACUGCGAAGGGGGGACGGAGAAGGCUAUGUUGGCCGGGCGACGGUUGUCCCGGUUUAAGCGUGUAGGCUGGUUUUCCAGGCAAAUCCGGAAAAUCAAGGCUGAGGCGUGAUGACGAGGCACUACGGUGCUGAAGCAACAAAUGCCCUGCUUCCAGGAAAAGCCUCUAAGCAUCAGGUAACAUCAAAUCGUACCCCAAACCGACACAGGUGGUCAGGUAGAGAAUACCAAGGCGCUUGAGAGAACUCGGGUGAAGGAACUAGGCAAAAUGGUGCCGUAACUUCGGGAGAAGGCACGCUGAUAUGUAGGUGAAGUCCCUUGCGGAUGGAGCUGAAAUCAGUCGAAGAUACCAGCUGGCUGCAACUGUUUAUUAAAAACACAGCACUGUGCAAACACGAAAGUGGACGUAUACGGUGUGACGCCUGCCCGGUGCCGGAAGGUUAAUUGAUGGGGUUAGCGCAAGCGAAGCUCUUGAUCGAAGCCCCGGUAAACGGCGGCCGUAACUAUAACGGUCCUAAGGUAGCGAAAUUCCUUGUCGGGUAAGUUCCGACCUGCACGAAUGGCGUAAUGAUGGCCAGGCUGUCUCCACCCGAGACUCAGUGAAAUUGAACUCGCUGUGAAGAUGCAGUGUACCCGCGGCAAGACGGAAAGACCCCGUGAACCUUUACUAUAGCUUGACACUGAACAUUGAGCCUUGAUGUGUAGGAUAGGUGGGAGGCUUUGAAGUGUGGACGCCAGUCUGCAUGGAGCCGACCUUGAAAUACCACCCUUUAAUGUUUGAUGUUCUAACGUUGACCCGUAAUCCGGGUUGCGGACAGUGUCUGGUGGGUAGUUUGACUGGGGCGGUCUCCUCCUAAAGAGUAACGGAGGAGCACGAAGGUUGGCUAAUCCUGGUCGGACAUCAGGAGGUUAGUGCAAUGGCAUAAGCCAGCUUGACUGCGAGCGUGACGGCGCGAGCAGGUGCGAAAGCAGGUCAUAGUGAUCCGGUGGUUCUGAAUGGAAGGGCCAUCGCUCAACGGAUAAAAGGUACUCCGGGGAUAACAGGCUGAUACCGCCCAAGAGUUCAUAUCGACGGCGGUGUUUGGCACCUCGAUGUCGGCUCAUCACAUCCUGGGGCUGAAGUAGGUCCCAAGGGUAUGGCUGUUCGCCAUUUAAAGUGGUACGCGAGCUGGGUUUAGAACGUCGUGAGACAGUUCGGUCCCUAUCUGCCGUGGGCGCUGGAGAACUGAGGGGGGCUGCUCCUAGUACGAGAGGACCGGAGUGGACGCAUCACUGGUGUUCGGGUUGUCAUGCCAAUGGCACUGCCCGGUAGCUAAAUGCGGAAGAGAUAAGUGCUGAAAGCAUCUAAGCACGAAACUUGCCCCGAGAUGAGUUCUCCCUGACCCUUUAAGGGUCCUGAAGGAACGUUGAAGACGACGACGUUGAUAGGCCGGGUGUGUAAGCGCAGCGAUGCGUUGAGCUAACCGGUACUAAUGAACCGUGAGGCUUAACCU
rnacentral:rRNA from 1 species